AACGCACCUUGCGCUCUUUGGCCAUUCCGAAGAGCAUGCCUGUUUGAGUGUCAUCGAAUCCUCAAGCCCAGCCCGGCUUCUCCCCGGGCUUUUGGGGGCUUGGAGUUGGGAGCUGUGCGGGUCGCUAGCCUUCGCGAUCCGCUCUCCUCAAAGGCAUCAGCAGGGCCCAGUCGCAGUCGGCCUCGUGGCGUUGAUAGUCCAUCUACGCCCCCCCGCGGCCGCACUCAGCGUGGCUCGGCUUCGAACCGUCCGGCCCCUCGAGCCGGACAGGCCGACACACCCCGGCCUCACCCCUUGACACCCUUGACCUCAAAUCAGGUAGGACUACCCGCUGAACUUAA
rnacentral:misc_RNA from 1 species